CGUCACUAGUCUCGUUUCUGGGGUUGUUACUCUAAGGCUACCUGCUGAAGUUAUUGCUUUAAAGCAGGGGUUUUAGGAGGCUUUCUCCGAAAGGGGCCAGUGCGGAGCACUAGCCAGUGGCGAACGGGUGAGUAACACGUGGGUAAUCUACCCUCGAGUGGGGGAAUAACGUACCGAAAGGUGCGCUAAUACCGCAUAAUGCCUGGCAACACAAGUUGUCCGGCCAAAGAAGGCCUCUGUUUACAAGCUUUCGCUUCAGGAUGAGUCCGCGUACCAUUAGCUUGUUGGUGGGGUAAUGGCCUACCAAGGCUGCGAUGGUUAGCUGGUCUGAGAGGAUGAUCAGCCACACUGGAACUGAGACACGGUCCAGACUCCUACGGGAGGCAGCAGUAGGGAAUAUUAGUAAUGGGCGAAAGCCUGAACUAGCAACGCCGCGUGUGCGAAGAAGGCCUUCGGGUCGUAAAGCACUUUUUGAGAGGAUGAGGAAGGACGGUACUCUCAGAAUAAGUCUCGGCUAACUACGUG
rnacentral:rRNA from 1 species